rnacentral:rRNA from 1 species
GAUGAACGCUGGCGGCGUGCCUAAUACAUGCAAGUCGAGCGAACAGAUGAGGAGCUUGCUCCUCUGACGUUAGCGGCGGACGGGUGAGUCACACGUGGAUAACCUACCUAUAAGACUGGGAUAACUUCGGGAAACCGGAGCUAAUACCGGAUAAUAUAUUGAACCGCAUGGUUCAAUAGUGAAAGACGGUUUUGCUGUCACUUAUAGAUGGAUCCGCGCCGCAUUAGCUAGUUGGUAAGGUAACGGCUUACCAAGGCAACGAUGCGUAGCCGACCUGAGAGGGUGAUCGGCCACACUGGAACUGAGACACGGUCCAGACUCCUACGGGAGGCAGCAGUAGGGAAUCUUCCGCAAUGGGCGAAAGCCUGACGGAGCAACGCCGCGUGAGUGAUGAAGGUCUUCGGAUCGUAAAACUCUGUUAGUAGGGAGGAACAAAAGUGUAAGUAACUAUGCACGUCUUGACGGUACCUAAACAGAAAGCCACGGCUAACUACGUG